UUGAAUAAGGCAAAGGUAUCAGAAAAACUGGUCUUGGUUCCAAAGGUCAAGAGGGCCUGAAAGUACUCCCAGUCCCCUUUGGGAUGGGGACUUACACUAGGGCGGGGCUCAGCAAUCCUGUGGAACAGGACUCCAGGGCAGUUUACAGUUAGGUCUAAGGCUAGGCGAAGGCCCAUUGAAAUCAGACGCGAUCAGGCACAGUGAGCCUCCAGUUACGGGCUACUUGAAGGCUCCUUCCAGCUCUUUCCCUGGUGAGAUGUGUGUGUAUUUUCAACCUUCACUAUCCUACCAGGAGCGGUAGCGUUUCCCAGCUCACCCCACCCCACCAGACCCUCUGCUCUCGGCCUCGUCUGGUUGGUUCCCCUAGUCCCCUGUGCUGUCCCCACUUCUCCGUGUUCAGUUCCCUAGCCUUCGCUGGGCUCUGGCCUUGUUUCCGGGCUGAACCUUUUCCACGUAACCACGAGAUGGCGAAGAUGAGACGCCCACCCGACUUGCCGGUUGGGGGAUGGAGUUGUGACCCAGCCUGUAAGAAAGGUUCCCCCAGGCACCAUGCCAGCCCCAUAGCACUACCCACUCCACGACUUCUGCUGCACCCCACUGCUGGGGUGAUUGUUCCAAUGUGACUGAACACUUCAAACUCCAUCUGGUAAGCUUGGCUGCUGAGUGUCACCUCCUUCCCC
rnacentral:lncRNA from 1 species